AUUAAAUGACUCUCGGCAACGGAUAUCUCGGCUCUUGCAUCGAUGAAGAACGUAGCGAAAUGCGAUACUUGGUGUGAAUUGCAGAAUCCCGUGAACCAUCGAGUCUUUGAACGCAAGUUGCGCCUGAAGCCAUUAGGUUGAGGGCACGCCUGCCUGGGUGUCACAU
rnacentral:rRNA from 1 species